rnacentral:lncRNA from 1 species
UGUUUCCAUCGAUAGUAUUAGAAAAAACAGUUACUUCCCAUUAUUAUUAUUUUCUACAAAUGAGCAGGGUUUUUGUCUUGCAUGGCUAACUCAGGGUGCUGCUCCUGUGCUCUCUGAUUAAUGUGUCUUUUUAAUCUUAAUAGCAUGAGAUGGACUUCCUUAGCAGCCACUGGUAAAAUAAUUAGAAGAGUUAGAUAUGAAAUCUGAAUUAAUAAUUUCAGUGACAGCCCGCUCAAUAAGAGAAGUAAACAAUGUUUGACAUGCAUUACAUUUUUUGUUUUAUAACAUUUGGCAAGAGCAUCUUGUUUAAGUAUAGCACGUCUGGCAUUUUUUGUUUGUACAAGUACGUAACAACACAGGCAUUAUGUAUGUCAAGUCAAGGGAUACCAGUUUCCAGGUAUCUUUAUUUUAGGCUGAGUUUUUAUCAUCAUAAAGGCCUGAUUCUUAAACAUAUUGGAACAAAUGGUUUUUGUAUGAUUGCAAUUUGGAACAAGCUUUUCCAGUUUUCUAUAUUAGAACUUCAAGAAUGUAUACUAGUAUGAUAUAUCAUUUAUUUGCAGACUGCAAAUGUCUGGGUAGUGUUCGAGUUAGCUUAGGAAGAUCUUGUGGGAGAUGAUGUUCAAGAAGUGGUUAUGUUCAGUUGCCAUGGUUAUUUCAUGAAAAUAUGUGUCGUUAGUUAAAUCCCCGUAUAGUUUAAUUUGCACAAUAAAUAAAAAUAUAUGGGUGCAAACUUAUCACUUGAAACAAAAUCCUUAUAAUCCCAGGUCUUAUGAGAAUAAAUUCAAACUGAGAUAUAUAAUAUGCAUAGAUACACAGAAGCAGUGGCAGCUAAGGUAAAAGUAUUCAUCUUUUUUACAUAAGUAGCAAAGCAGGUCAGAAAUGCAAAGCAGUUCAGAAAUAAAUGAGUUUCUAUAAACUGAAGUGAUGAUGUGAUAAUCUGAAUUUUGGAAGUGAUUCAGAAUUACUAAUAAUGAAGCUGGCUCUCAUCCCCUCUCUGCUUUUUUAUAUCAUUGAAAGAGGCAACAGAACGAAUAGAAAAGCGACUAUUCUGGUUGUGCAAAUGAGCACGUAGAAUUAGUUGUUCAACUGAAGGUAAUUUCUCAAAUGAUCUCUCAAAUCUUUACUGACUGCUUAUAUUUCUGUUUAAGCAUUGAAUGACCUUGAUGGUAGAAUGUGAAUAAUGCCUGAAAGGGAAAUACAAGUUUGUCCAAUUAUUUCUUGCCGCUAACUGCUUAAAGAUAACAUUACCUUUAUUAGGUUGUCUGCUUAGAUGCAUAAACAUGAAAUAUAUACAGUUAUGAGCCCCUGUUUAUAAUGCUUUGCUCUUUCCCGUGGUGUAAAGGAUUAAGGUAAUCCAUUAAACAGCAGAAGAGGGACAGCCUUCAUCCUUCUCUGUUCCCUCUUUAUUUGCAAGUCAAGUAUGAGGUGUUCCUAUACAUGGAAGCCACAUCCAUCAUGCAUUAGAACAGAACUCAGGUUUUGUGGGUCUUUUGGAUUGUGAGCAUUCUGAUUUUUAGAACUCUGUUUUUUAUUCUGCUCUGGAAAGAUUUGAGCAACUAUGCAUUAAUAUAAUGGGGUGGUCUGUAUAAAACAUGGCAAAAAUACCAUGUGUCCUAAAGGUGCAGUAGGGUUUUAAUUGGCUACAAAUUAAGAUAAAUUGUAUGAAAUAAUUUAGUAAUAUCAAGUUACUUUCUUUCUUUCACCUUUGGACUUUUUAAGUACAGAUAUAACAUCUCAAAUAUCAACUGAUGUAGAAUGGAUGUGAAAAAAAAAAGGUUGAUCACAGAUUAGAUGUAUGAAAAAGAGUGUGAUGGACUUUAGGUACUAUGUGAGUACAGUGCAGAGGGGCAGUAAGGCGUAGCUCUGAGGGGGAAUGCACUGAAUAGCGUUUAGUGACUUGAAAGCCAAUAUCAAUUCCAGAGCAAAGGCAGAGGUCCAUGUGUGAGUUCUGGUGAUAAUGUGGAUAAUGAUUCUGUCAAGUCAGAUGCACAUGCUGACCGAUAUAAAUGAGUUAUCAAGGCUUUGUGAAUAAUGUCCUGGUGAUGAGCCAUAAAUCAAAGUGCAAUCAUCAGUCCAUCUGUAGAGGCCUAGAAUGGUUCAGUAGUAACCCUCAAGUUGGUACACAUAUUAAUAUGAAAAAUAAUGAGUCUGCCAACUUAAAGCAGGGAUUUGUUUUGGAUAAACACUGUUAGAAUUUGGGCUGGCCAAUAAAGCCAAUUGACAGAUUCGUUUGUCAUACGAAUAAUAUCUCAUUCAGUGCAUUAAAACAAC